CCUACGGGGGGCAGCAGUGGGGAAUAUUGGGCAAUGGAGGCAACUCUUACCCAGCAAUGCCGCGUGAAUGAAGAAGGUCUUCGGAUUGUAAAGUUCUUUAAUUGGGGACGAAAAAAAUGACGGUACCCAAGGAAUAAGCCCCGGCUAACUCCGUGCCAGCAGCCGCGGUAAUACGGAGGAUGCGAGCGUUAUCCGGAUUUAUUGGGUUUAAAGGGUGCGUAGGCGGAAUGCCAAGUCAGCGGUAAAAUCGCGGGGCUCAACCUCGCUCCGCCGUUGAAACUGGCGUUCUUGAGUGGGCGUGAAGUAUGCGGAAUGCGUGGUGUAGCGGUGAAAUGCAUAGAUAUCACGCAGAACUCCGAUUGCGAAGGCAGCAUACCGGCGCCCAACUGACGCUGAAGCACGAAAGCGUGGGUAUCGAACAGGAUUAGAUACCCCGGUAGUC
rnacentral:rRNA from 1 species